CUGCGGCGCCGCGAGCGGGCUGCGGGGUGCCCCGGCCGCCGGGCAGCGCUGAGGGGACCGGACCGGGGCGGGGCGGGGCGGGCGCUGGGUGACGGCCCCGGGACCUGUGAGGGGACCGAGCACUCGCUCAGUGCCAGAGCCUGGGAGAAACGAACCGCUGCCUGGGUCUAGUCACUGCUGGGCUAAAUGCUGUACAAGGAGCUAACGGUGACUCGUUAGCGUGUGGUGACUUCCUAGGAUUUCACCUGCCAUGGUUUGGAGGCUGCAGGUUGGCAAAGGACACACAGUCCGUUAGUUUUGCCUCAGGAAUUGCUUGUUGUAUCGACCCAUGUAUCUCAUCGUGGACAGUCUGGUGUCAGUCUCAGGAUGAUUUAGAAAGCAUGUUCGUGUCCCUGGCUAGUGGAAACAUCAUACGAUGCUCAGCUGACUCCUUAUCACCUACACUGAUCUAUGAGGCUUUUUCCUACCCAUUUGAUACCGCUCCCUUGAAUGGUUAGUUUUCUUCAUGCUGGCUCUGGCCUGUUUUAUGUAUCUAUAUCUACAUCUCAGAAGAAUCUCUGACUUAAAUGUCAGGCCUGCAUUAAGCAAACAUGACUCCUGAACCUAGUCACAUAGGCAUACAUGUGCACAUGAACACACACAGGCCCAGUGUGUUUUUCUGAGGACUAAAAGUUCAUUGUCCCAGAAAUAUUUUUGUUUGCUCACAGAAACAAACAAAAACCCCACAGAUUCGAUAGUCAAAUAACGUAUUUCUUUGUCAUUCUA